CAGGGAGACAGCAAAAUGUUUAAUAUUAUUUUGUCACCUUAGGUCGAUCGGUAUCUCACGUUCUUAAAUUUAUUAAGAAUUUCAUUUCCUAAGUUUUUCUAGGUCACACCCAUUAUUUUUCCUGGGCCAUUAGCUCAGGUGGUUAGAGCGCACCCCUGAUAAGGGUGAGGUCCCUGGUUCAAGUCCAGGAUGGCCCAUAUCUCAAUGUUGGGGGUAUAGCUCAGUUGGUAGAGCGCCUGCUUUGCAAGCAGGAUGUCAGCGGUUCGAGUCCGCUUACCUCCACUGAUUACCACCUCUGUCAUAAUUUGUAUAAAGGAAUUAUUUUGAGUUGUGAUCAAAUUCUGAACGAAUCUAGCUUCCUAAUUAAAUAAUUAAGAUGCUGGACUCAUUGAAUUAAAUUCAUUGAUUUCAGAGAACCUUGACAACUGCAUAGAUUAUUUUUAAAGACAAUAAGCAUCUUUAAUGAUGCAGAUUUAUUAUUUGUGCGAAUGCAUCAAUAACAAUUCUAUUAAGCUGAUGCUUCAAUUUUGAAGUUAUU
rnacentral:tRNA from 1 species